AUUGAACGCUGGCGGCAUGCCUUACACAUGCAAGUCGAACGGCAGCACGGGUGCUUGCACCUGGUGGCGAGUGGCGAACGGGUGAGUAAUACAUCGGAACGUACCUUAUCGUGGGGGAUAACGCAGCGAAAGCUGUGCUAAUACCGCAUACGCCCUGAGGGGGAAAGCGGGGGAUCGCAAGACCUCGCGCGAUUAGAGCGGCCGAUGCCUGAUUAGCUUGGUGGUGGGGUAAAAGCCCACCAAGGCGACGAUCAGUAGCUGGUCUGAGAGGACAGUUAGCCAAGCUGGGACUGAGACACGGCCCAGCCUCCUACGGGAGGCAGCAGUGGGGAAUUUUGGACAAUGGGGGCAACCCUGAUCCAGCAAUGCCACGUGAGUGAAGAAGGCCUUCGGGUUGUAAAGCUCUUUUGUCAGGGAAGAAACACCGGCUCUAACACAGUCCGGGAAUGACGGUACCUGAAGAAUAAGCACCGGCUAACUACGUGCCAGCAGCCGCGGUAA
rnacentral:rRNA from 1 species